CAUGACCUCGGGCCACAGCCACAUUCAUCUCUACCAGUCGGUCCUCAGUAGUGUCACGCAGUGUCAAGCCAGCUGGUUACACACAUUUACACCAUGUUAGCUUCCCCUCUCAGGAUGUAAGAGGGAACUCAUGGUUGCACUCAGCUAAAGCAUUAAGGCCUGCGAUGGGAGGACAGUCCAGCCCACAGAUGAGAAGUGUGGUCUCCACUUCACAGUCAGCAGGAAGCAUCACAGAGGCCACCAGGUGAAGUGAUCAUGGCGCUGAGACGGUCAGGAGGCCCAGCCAAGCACAGCAUCUCACCUGACGAGCUGUGACAGACGGACACAAGUGAUCAUCUCGUGCUUCGUCUUGUCUCCGUCUUUAUCUGACUGGAUCCUGAAGGAGCUCUUGGCUGACAGCUGGCUGAAUCUCUUCAGCUCCAGGAGGCGUGGGAUACCCAGGCUGUAGUGGGCUAUCCUGAAGGCAUCCUCUAGAUUCUCUCUGGCCGUCCUAAGCAAUGCCUUCCUCAUGUCCACAAGGCUAGAGUCAAUGGACUUAAUGACAGCCAAGAAGGCCAGACCACUUGUCCAGCUCUUCCCAAAGUCCUGCACCGCCACACCAAACCUACAGGAUGACAGGACAUAUUCAGUCAACAAGCAGUUUCUUGAUGGCCUUGCCAUGUUCUCGCAUGGCCAUGGACGCUGACUGUCUCUCUUCAGAUGGCGUGCUGCAGAAGGACGUGUCAGAGUCGGAGCUGGUGGGGAUGGACGACAGGCUGGAGGUGGAGGGGAACUGACUC